CGAGAAAGUGUCUUUCGGGAUGCGAGUAAGGUGGCGCACGGGUGAGUAACACGUAAGCAAUCUACCCUUAGGUUUGGAAUAACUCCGAGAAAUCGGGGCUAAUACCAAAUGAUGCAGCGAUACCACAUGGUAAUGCUGUUAAAGUCUAUACGGCGCCUAAUGACGAGCUUGCGUCUGAUUAGCUUGUUGGUAAGGUAAUGGCUUACCAAGGCAACGAUCAGUAGCUGGUCUGAGAGGAUGAUCAGUCACACUGGAACUGAGACACGGUCCAGACUCCUACGGGAGGCAGCGGUGAGGAAUAUUGGGCAAUGGGCGAAAGCCUGACCCAGCAACGCCGCGUGGAGGAUGAAUGUCGUAAGAUUGUAAACUCCUGUUAGAGGGGAAGAAUAAUCCCGAUCGACUCGGGACAUGACUGUACCCUCAGAGAAAGCUCCGGCUAACUACGUGCCAGCAGCCGCGGUAAUACGUAGGGAGCAAGCGUUGUCCGGAUUUACUGGGUGUAAAGGGCGCGCAGGCGGGUUGGCAAGUCAGUGGUGAAAUCCUACAGCUUAACUGUAGAACUGCCUUUGAUACUACCAAUCUUGAGUAUGGAAGAGAGAGACGGAAUUCCAGGUGUAGUGGUGAAAUACGUAGAUAUCUGGAAGAACACCAGUUGCGAAGGCGGUCUCUUGGUCCAAUACUGACGCUGAGGUGCGAAAGCGUGGGGAGCAAACAGGACUAGAUACCCUGGUAGUCCACGCUGUAAACGAUGAAUACUAGGUGCCGGGUCUUUAGAUUCGGUGCCGCAGCUAACGCAUUAAGUAU
rnacentral:rRNA from 1 species